GGCGAGGGGAGUGAAAAAGAACCUGAAACCGUGUACGUACAAGCAGUGGGAGCACAGGUUUACCUGUGUGACUGCGUACCUUUUGUAUAAUGGGUCAGCGACUUAUAUUCUGUAGCAAGGUUAACCGUAUAGGGGAGCCGGAGGGAAACCGAGUCUUAACCGGGCGUUAAGUUGCAGGGUAUAGACCCGAAACCCGGUGAUCUAGCCAUGGGCAGGUUGAAGGUUGGGUAACACUAACUGGAGGACCGAACCGACUAAUGUUGAAAAAUUAGCGGAUGACCUGUGGCUGGGGGUGAAAGGCCAAUCAAACCGGGAGAUAGCUGGUUCUCCCCGAAAGCUAUUUAGGUAGCGCCUCGUGAAUUCAUCUCCGGGGGUAGAGCACUGUUUCGGCUAGGGGGCCAUCCCGGCUUACCAACCCGAUGCAAACUGCGAAUACCGGAGAAUGUUAUCACGGGAGACACACGGCGGGUGCUAACGUCCGUCGUGAAGAGGGAAACAACCCAGACCGCCAGCUAAGGUCCCAAAGUCAUGGUUAAGUGGGAAACGAUGUGGGAAGGCCCAGACAGCCAGGAUGUUGGCUUAGAAGCAGCCAUCAUUUAAAGAAAGCGUAAUAGCUCACUGGUCGAGUCGGCCUGCGCGGAAGAUGUAACGGGGCUAAACCAU
rnacentral:rRNA from 1 species